rnacentral:rRNA from 1 species
AUGAAGCUUGGGACCAUUGAGAUUCUGAUGGGAGCGGGACUUGUGUGCCACUCAUGGCUGGUAGCAGCCAAGUCCCCUGAGUUGUGGCGUUUCGUGGACAUGACACGCCACAAGGUGGUUUUCUCAGAGGCGGAAAAGGUCAUGUGCAAAAUGGCAAAAGUGGCUAUAGAUCGCUCCGAUGGACGGAUGGAAUCGUUCUGGGCUCAGAAGUUUGUCACUAGCGAACUCUUGAAUUAUAUUGCAAGCAGGUGCCACUCACUAAAGAGCAUUCGGCUCAUCGGCACCAUGUACUUUUGGGAUGAUGAGGACGUAGUAAUUAAGCUUGCAGCUAAAUGUCCAAUGCUACAAGAGAUAGAGUGCUCUGAUCAGAAGCAGCCAUGGCCUUUUUUCACGAGGAUCGGCGCAGCGCGCCCAGAGUUGAAACGUCUAAGAGUCCGUUAUCCUUGGUUCGACUCAGAUUCAAUAUUGAUGAAUGACGAAGGCGAGAAGGAGGAGGAGUCUGAUGAGGCCUGGGAGGCGAGACAAAAUCAGGAGGCCUUUGCCAUAGCAGAGAGCUUGCAUGAGUUGCGGCUCCUUCAGAUGUCAGGCUAUGGCCUGACCAACAAAGGGGUAUACGCCAUCCUCGAAGGCUGCCCCCACCUUGAGUUCCUCGACCUUAGAGAAUGCCUCCACAUCGAAGUUAACGCUGAACUCCAAGCUCGUUGUGCCAAUAUCAGGCAUGUCCAGCUGCCAGGAGUGGGGCCUUAUGUACCGUGCCCCGAACUCCAUACCAUCGAGGCGGAUGAAGGUGAAGUGAUCCCGUUGCAAGAUAGGGUUCAAAUGAACCAGAAGUACAAGGGGCACAAGAGGAGUAGAGAUAAANNNNNNNNNNNNNNNGAUGACUACUAUGGCGAGAACUACUGCUGGGAUGACUACUCGCUCCCCUCGUCCCCUGGCUCGCCUGUCGUACCGAUGUACUCUAUGGCUGAUCCCAGAUACUACUGGGAGCUGUAA